CAAGGAUGGGAUGCUCAGAGAA
rnacentral:miRNA from 1 species